UCUCAAAAUAGAAUGAUCAAA
rnacentral:piRNA from 1 species